rnacentral:rRNA from 1 species
UACAGAGGUCCCGAGCGUUGUUCGGAUUCACUGGGCGUAAAGCGCGUGUAGGCGGCUUGGCAAGUCGGGUGUGAAAGCCCUCAGCUCAACUGAGGAAGUGCGCCCGAAACUGCUGAGCUUGAGUGCCGGAGAGGGUGGCGGAAUUCCCCAAGUAGAGGUGAAAUUCGUAGAUAUGGGGAGGAACACCGGUGGCGAAGGCGGCCACCUGGACGGUUACUGACGCUGAGACGCGAAAGCGUGGGGAGCAAACAGG